GAGUGAACGCUGGCGGCGUGCUUAACACAUGCAAGUCGAACGAGAACGGAUUAAAGCUUGCUUUAAUUGUCAGCUAAGUGGCGCACGGGUGAGUAAUAUAUAGGUAACGUGCCUUCAAGAAGGGGAUAACAAUUGGAAACGAUUGCUAAUACCCUAUAUGCCUUUAAGACUUAAGUCUGCAAGGGAAAUAUUUAUAGCUUGAAGAUCGGCCUGUACAGUAUCAGUUAGUUGGUGAGGUAAUGGCUCACCAAGACAAUGACGCUUAACUGGUUUGAGAGGAUGAUCAGUCACACUGGAACUGAGACACGGUCCAGACUCCUACGGGAGGCAGCAGUGGGGAAUAUUGCACAAUGGACGAAAGUCUGAUGCAGCAACGCCGCGUGGAGGAUGACACAUUUCGGUGCGUAAACUCCUUUUAUAUAGGAAGAUAAUGACGGUACUAUAUGAAUAAGCACCGGCUAACUCCGUGCCAGCAGCCGCGGUAAUACGGAGGGUGCAAGCGUUACUCGGAAUCACUGGGCGUAAAGAGAAUGUAGGCGGAUAGAAAAGUCAGAAGUGAAAUCCAAUAGCUCAACUAUUGAACUGCUUUUGAAACUUUCUAUCUAGAAUAUGGGAGAGGUAGAUGGAAUUUCUGGUGUAGGGGUAAAAUCCGUAGAGAUCAGAAGGAAUACCGAUUGCGAAGGCGAUCUACUGGAACAUUAUUGACGCUGAGAUUCGAAAGCGUGGGGAGCAAACAGGAUUAGAUACCCUGGUAGUCCACGCCCUAAACGAUGCACACUAGUUGUUGUGAGGCUAGACCUUGCAGUAAUGCAGUUAACACAUUAAGU
rnacentral:rRNA from 1 species